rnacentral:rRNA from 1 species
UGCAAGUCGAACGCGUUGGCCCAAUUGAUUGAUGGUGCUUGCACCUGAUUGAUUUUGGUCGCCAACGAGUGGCGGACGGGUGAGUAACACGUAGGUAACCUGCCCAGAAGCGGGGGACAACAUUUGGAAACAGAUGCUAAUACCGCAUAACAGCGUUGUUCGCAUGAACAACGCUUAAAAGAUGGCUUCUUGCUAUCACUUCUGGAUGGACCUGCGGUGCAUUAGCUUGUUGGUGGGGUAACGGCCUACCAAGGCGAUGAUGCAUAGCCGAGUUGAGAGACUGAUCGGCCACAAUGGGACUGAGACACGGCCCAUACUCCUACGGGAGGCAGCAGUAGGGAAUCUUCCACAAUGGGCGCAAGCCUGAUGGAGCAACACCGCGUGAGUGAAGAAGGGUUUCGGCUCGUAAAGCUCUGUUGUUAAAGAAGAACACGUAUGAGAGUAACUGUUCAUACGUUGACGGUAUUUAACCAGAAAGUCACGGCUAACUACGUGCCAGCAGCCGCGGUAAUACGUAGGUGGCAAGCGUUAUCCGGAUUUAUUGGGCGUAAAGAGAGUGCAGGCGGUUUUCUAAGUCUGAUGUGAAAGCCUUCGGCUUAACCGGAGAAGUGCAUCGGAAACUGGAUAACUUGAGUGCAGAAGAGGGUAGUGGAACUCCAUGUGUAGCGGUGGAAUGCGUAGAUAUAUGGAAGAACACCAGUGGCGAAGGCGGCUACCUGGUCUGCAACUGACGCUGAGACUCGAAAGCAUGGGUAGCGAACAGGAUUAGAUACCCUGGUAGUCCAUGCCGUAAACGAUGAGUGCUAGGUGUUGGAGGGUUUCCGCCCUUCAGUGCCGGAGCUAACGCAUUAAGCACUCCGCCUGGGGAGUACGACCGCAAGGUUGAAACUCAAAGGAAUUGACGGGGGCCCGCACAAGCGGUGGAGCAUGUGGUUUAAUUCGAAGCUACGCGAAGAACCUUACCAGGUCUUGACAUCUUGCGCCAACCCUAGAGAUAGGGCGUUUCCUUCGGGAACGCAAUGACAGGUGGUGCAUGGUCGUCGUCAGCUCGUGUCGUGAGAUGUUGGGUUAAGUCCCGCAACGAGCGCAACCCUUGUUACUAGUUGCCAGCAUUAAGUUGGGCACUCUAGUGAGACUGCCGGUGACAAACCGGAGGAAGGUGGGGACGACGUCAGAUCAUCAUGCCCCUUAUGACCUGGGCUACACACGUGCUACAAUGGACGGUACAACGAGUCGCGAACUCGCGAGGGCAAGCAAAUCUCUUAAAACCGUUCUCAGUUCGGACUGCAGGCUGCAACUCGCCUGCACGAAGUCGGAAUCGCUAGUAAUCGCGGAUCAGCAUGCCGCGGUGAAUACGUUCCCGGGCCUUGUACACACCGCCCGUCACACCAUGAGAGUUUGUAACACCCAAAGUCGGUGGGGUAACCUUUUAGGAGCCAGCCGCCUAAGG